rnacentral:tRNA from 1 species
GGAGAGGUGGCCGAGCGGUUUAUGGCGGCGGUCUUGAAAACCGCUUAGGGUUAACAGCCCUACGGGGGUUCGAAUCCCUCCCUCUCCG